ACGUGCCUUGCUGUUUCUCUGGAGAUACCGUGGGUAAUCCCUUAACUAGCUUCCUUCCUCUGGCAGUCAUUUCUGUUCUGCUUUUUCCUGUUAUGUGGACUAUGGCAGUCUCAGGAGAAACAGGAUUACUGAGAAAGCAAUACAAAGUCAGCAACUUUUAAACUCAGACGUGAAAGCAUCAGCUAUUUCUGUUGUAUAUUUUAUGAGACCUUCAAACUUAUUCUGCUUGUAUGUACGGCACACUGCUGAAGAUUGUAUGAAGACUCUUUGUCCUUGGAAAAGAAUGGGACCAGCAUCUGUGCAACUCAAAUCUAUCAACAGAAUUUUCAGGUCAUAACUUGUAAAAACAACAACAACAAAAACUAGUCAAUUAAAUGUAAUAGCAUUUUUGGUCGGGUAAAUUACAGUAAGAAAUUGGUUGCUUGGGAAUUAUUCCUCUAGAAAAGCUAAUUUCUUUGUAUGCAUAAUUUUAAAUACUUAAAAGUAAU